rnacentral:rRNA from 2 species
UUUACUAUGGAGAGUUUGAUCCUGGCUCAGGAUGAACGCUAGCGGCAGGCUUAAUACAUGCAAGUCGAGGGGCAGCACGGGUAGCAAUACCUGGUGGCGACCGGCGCACGGGUGCGUAACGCGUAUGUAAUCUACCAUUAACCGGGGAAUAGCCCAGAGAAAUCUGGAUUAAUGCCCCAUAGUAUUAUCGAAAGGCAUCUUUUGAUAAUUAAAGCUCAGGCGGUUUUUGAUGAACAUGCGUGUCAUUAGUUUGUUGGUGAGGUAACGGCUCACCAAGACUACGAUGACUAGGGGGUCUGAGAGGAUGAUCCCCCACACUGGUACUGAGACACGGACCAGACUCCUACGGGAGGCAGCAGUAAGGAAUAUUGGGCAAUGGAGGCAACUCUGACCCAGCCAUGCCGCGUGAAGGAUUGACGGCCCUCUGGGUUGUAAACUUCUUUUGUACGGGAAUAACCCUCCGAACGUGUUCGGAGCUGAAGGUACCGUAAGAAUAAGGAUCGGCUAACUCCGUGCCAGCAGCCGCGGUAAUACGGAGGAUCCAAGCGUUAUCCGGAUUUACUGGGUUUAAAGGGUGCGUAGGCGGAUUGAUAAGUCAGUGGUGAAAGCCUGCAGCUUAACUGCAGAACUGCCAUUGAUACUGCCAGUCUGGAGUAUGGUUGAGGUAGCUGGAAUGUGUCAUGUAGCGGUGAAAUGCUUAGAGAUGACACAGAACACCGACGGCGAAGGCAGGUUACCAACCCAUUACUGACGCUGAGGCACGAAAGCGUGGGGAUCAAACAGGAUUAGAUACCCUGGUAGUCCACGCCGUAAACUAUGAUUACUAGUUGUUGGCGAUACAUUGCCAGUGACUGAGCGAAAGCAUUAAGUAAUCCACCUGGGGAGUACGUUCGCAAGAAUGAAACUCAAAGGAAUUGACGGGGGCCCGCACAAGCGGAGGAGCAUGUGGUUUAAUUCGAUGAUACGCGAGGAACCUUACCUGGGCUCGAACGUAUAGGGAAUUAUGCCGAAAGGUAUAAGCCAGCAAUGGCCGUAUACGAGGUGCUGCAUGGUUGUCGUCAGCUCGUGCCGUGAGGUGUUAGGUUAAGUCCUGCAACGAGCGCAACCCUUACCUUUAGUUGCCAGCAUGUAAUGAUGGGGACUCUAAAGGAACUGCCUACGCAAGUAGUGAGGAAGGUGGGGAUGACGUCAAAUCAGCACGGCCCUUAUGUCCAGGGCGACACACGUGCUACAAUGGCCGAUACAAAGGGCAGCUACCAGGUGACUGGAUGCGAAUCUUUAAAAUCGGUCUCAGUUCGGAUCGGAGUCUGCAACUCGACUCCGUGAAGUCGGAUUCGCUAGUAAUCGCGCAUCAGCCAUGGCGCGGUGAAUACGUUCCCGGGCCUUGUACACACCGCCCGUCAAGCCAUGGAAGUUGGGGGUGCCUAAAGUUCGUGACCGCAAGGAGCGACCUAGGGUAAAACCAAUGACUGGGGCUAAGUCGUAACAAGGUAGCCGUACCGGAAGGUGCGGCUGGAAUACCUCCUUUCUGGAG